CACACACACACACAUACACACACACACACACACACACACACCACAUAUAGUGUCUCUGCUAUCCAACACUGCAGUGAGGUGAUUGCAGUGAGAGCAAUGACACUUCACAUUGAUGGUCUAAUUAUUUAAGAGGAAACUACACUGUGUGCUACUUGUCUAUAAACUGGAGUUUAUCACUGAAGGAUGUGGUGGGGAUAUAAAAAAAAAGAUGAUACAAAUUCACACUCAUAUACACAGAGGUCUUCAUUGUGUUCAAGUGUGUAUUUAUAUAUGUAACUACUGUAUAUCCCAGGAGGUCCAUGUGUAUAAACACACAUACAUAUGCAUUUAUAAUUAGAUCAUUAUUGGAUGCAUGUAAUCAGGGGGGAAGAGCAAGAGAGAUGGGGAAUGAGAGAGUGGGAUAUACUGUCAAGGGUCAAUGAAAGUAAGGGGAGGGGAAAAGAGCCUGAGGAAGAGAGAAUGAGGAGGAGGGUGUGUGUGGUGCAAGCUCUAUAGGGUGUGCAUUAUGGACUGAGAGAGUGAGAAAGCCAGGCAAUUGGAGGAUGAGAGGGGGAAUGCAGUGAGGAUAGGUCAGUGAUACAGAUCAUCAGAUAACCAUUUAUCUCCUCUGGACCAUAUUAGCUACACAUCAGAGUGUUCAAGCCUAUUUAGGACAGUGAUGAGAGAACCGAGGAGCCCUGCAGUGGACAAACUUUCCUGCUUGUGUGUUGGGGGGACAGACAGAGAGAUGGGAAGAGGGAGAGAGUGUUAGAGUGUGAAGCAGAAUGAGAAAGAGACAGAAAGAAAGAAAGACACAUAGCAAGAAAUAGGAAAAAAGGAGGAAAGAGAUUGCAGAGGCCGGAGUAGAAGAGCGGAAGAGCCAAGACACUCUCUUCCUUCCUGUUUGGUGCAUUGGCCCAUUAGAAACUGAACCUGUGGGACUUAAUCUGAUGGCUACCCACUAGAUUCUGACUGUGGAUGUGAGCUCCAGCACUACUGUCCCCCUCAUCACAGAAUGCUUUGCUAAAGCUGGUAAAAUGGAACCAAAUCAACUGUUCUAUGGAUUUGGUCCCCUUCAACCAGCUGUAGCUGUGCAUUGAUCACCCCAGAGUGCAGUAAGAUAGACAAAGAAGAUCUGGGAGCACACAAACACAUACUAACACUCUACAGGAUUCACCUUACAACUAUAUACCAUAUCAGACAGGAUCUGAGCAUCAUAUGGAUUUCCUGAUCCAGCUAGAACACCAACCUGAUGCAUUUCACCCCACACUUUAUGAUCUCUAAUAACAUGAUUAAAUACUGUGAGGUUACUAAAACCCAGGUGAACAUUAGCCAUGUCAUGCUGUUCAACUCUUUAUGACUGAUAAUAUCUGAUUAUGAAUCCAGUCCUGACUGCAGUCAGUGGAAUAGGGGUUUGCUGAGUUUUAUGGCUGCCCAUUGAUUUCUUGUCUUGCUGGUGAAAGAGAGAGAUGUGGAGGGACAGGACAGGAGAGAGGAAUGCACGUCAGGCUGCUGAAUAAGUAAAGCAAUCGUUCCUUUUUUCCUGUUUUUUUUUUUCCCUUCACAUUCGUCGUGAUCCUUAAUGCUUGUUUCUGAUCAAUAAAAGCUCAUCCUGAGGUCCAUAAA